rnacentral:tRNA from 1 species
GGCACUGUAGCCAAGUGGUUACGGCGACAGAUUCGAAUUACGAUUAUCUGUUCCUCUUUGAGGGCGUAGGUUCGAAUCCUGCCAGUGUCG